ensembl:lncRNA
UGUAAACUGUGUGUGUGUGUGUGCUGGAGAGUGAGGUGUAAACUGUGUGUGUGUGUGUGCUGGAGAGUGAGGUGUGAACUGUGUGUGUGUGCUGGAGAGUGAGGUGUAAACUGUGUGUGUGUGCUGGAGAGUGAGGUGUGAACUGUGUGUGUGUGUGUGUGUGCUGGAGAGUGAGGUGUAAACUGUGUGUGUGCUGGAGAGUGAGGUGUAAACUGUGUGUGUGUGCUGGAGAGUGAGGUGUAAACUGUGUGUGUGUGUGCUGGAGAGUGAGGUGUAAACUGUGUGUGUGUGUGUG